rnacentral:pre_miRNA from 1 species
UGAUGAAGGUAUUCCAAUGUCGGCCUUGUCACUUUAACAGAUGGAGCUUCUCACUGGAAAAAUGACAAGGCCGACAUUGGAAUACCUUCAUCAUAU